UGAAAAAAGGAGGUGCCUUAUCUGUGACGAAUUGAUGAGAUUGGUUUAAAAUAAAUUGGGAUAAUAUCUCAUAGUCAUUGUCGAAACUACGUGUGUUUAUAUCUAUUUUAUGAAUAAAAAUCCUAAUAUUCGUUGCUUUGAUUUCACAAAACCAAAAUCCUUUUCAACUUAUCAAUCUCUUUCACUCUAUCUUUUCUAUUGGUUAAGGAGAAGCUUCUAGGACCCAACGAAUUGCGUGGACCUCUUUUUUCAAAUUCUUAUCCAUUUCAAUCUGGUGUAUAAUCAACACACAAGCAAUUGAUUCAAUAGUCAAUACACUGUACUGCGAGCCUAACUGCUUCAAGCAAGUUUAUCUCCUCAUGAAUAAUCUCAUAGAGUGAAUAUUUUUUUUAUAAUAUAAUAAAAUAAUAAUUUUUUAAUCUCGAUUAAUGGAUAGUUUGAUAAUAUAUAUAAAUCCUGCGAGACUAAAAUCAUCCAUUUAGCUAGUUUUAGAUCUAUUCUUGAUAUAACGGGGGGACGAGUUAGUAAGGUACGAGAAAUUAACAUUAUUUUUGUUAUUUUCAUCAUUAUUCAUAUAAUUAAACGUAAAUAAUUAAACAUAUAUAAAAAUAAUAAUUAAAUUAAUAAUUCAAAAAAAUUAAUCUCUUGAUUUCAACACUCACCUAAAAUGGGAUAAAUGGUCUUUGGGCUGGUUCAGGAAACAUCUUUAAACUAUUAUCAAAAGGAACAUGUUUAGUAUUUGCUACUCGGCAGCAAUUUUCACUCUUAGUUUCGGAUAAAAGUUGUGAAGCCCAAUAGUACAUAUUUACAAUUUCGUCAUAGCUGGGCCAACAAUUACUAGUAGUGUAACCUGAAGAACCUAAAUGCCAAAUGUUUGAUUGUCGACGUUGUAAUUGGCCCAAACAAUACCUGUGAAAAGUGAACUUAAAAAGGUAUGCAGCUGCGGCUCUUUCGAACUUUACUCCUUUAUGCCGAGCUGCCGAACACUCUUUUACUUAUUUUUAGUAGGUUUGUAGGUCUCCCUUUCAAAAUUUAUUAAAAUAUAAAAUCUUAUUGAUAGUACCCGGCCUCUACAGGGUUUUUUACCCGGCUCCGUGAUAUAAUAUCCCGCUUUCGGUGGGUCUUUUACCCGGUUCUAUAGUAUUUUUAACUAUACAAUAUAUACGUCACACAAAUAAUAUAGCAGGAAGAGGACGGGUCGAGAGGAGGCUCCUUAUAAAAGGGAUGGUAUCAUUCAUUCUUUCACACACACUCUCUCGUACUCAUAUACUCUCUUAUCAGUUCCUUUAUAAACAGAAUCUCAUCCUUAGGCCGGAGGGGCUUGACGGCCAGCAUCCCCGGUCAGGCCAUGUUUUGCAAGCUUCCCAUCUAACAGCGGCAACAUCAGAAAUCAACGGAAGAAAUGGAGGCUACAAAUAUAUGGACUUAUCACUUAUAAUAUAAAAACUAUUUAUAAUCAAUAAUUUUCUUCAUUACACUAACUUAUAUAUAUUGAAUAUCAAUUGGUUUCACUAUUUUAUUCUCUUUUUUUUCUCUAUUUUAUUAAUUUAAACAUUUUUCGUUCAUAUCUAAUUCACUUGUAAAGAAAUAAGAAAGACGGAGAAUACAUUUUUUAUCAAACCAAAUAUCAUUUCGGCUAGGAGUACAAUUUUUCAAAUAAAUUUAUAGCAAACCAAACAUCACUUCAGCUAAGGAUAUAAUUUUUUGGGCCUUUAAAUUGGAUCAUAUCAUUUCUCAAUAUAUAAUGAGUCUUUCACGAUAAAAUUCAAUACGUAAUAUACGAUAAUAUAAAUAAAUAAGAAAGUGUUUAUACUUGUUUUUAACUCUUAACCCAAAGUGGAUUUAUU
rnacentral:lncRNA from 1 species